rnacentral:rRNA from 1 species
UGGGGAAUAUUGCACAAUGGGCGCAAGCCUGAUGCAGCAAUGCCGCGUGAGUGAAGACGGCCUUAGGGUUGUAAAACUCUUUCGCUAGGGAAGAUAAUGACGGUACCUAGUAAAGAAGUCCCGGCUAACUCCGUGCCAGCAGCCGCGGUAAUACGGAGGGGACUAGCGUUGUUCGGAAUUACUGGGCGUAAAGAGCUCGUAGGCGGUUCGGUAAGUCGGGUGUGAAAACUCUGGGCUCAACCCAGAGAGGCCACUCGAUACUGCUGUGACUAGAGUGCGGUAGGGGAGCGGGGAAUUCCUGGUGUAGCGGUGAAAUGCGCAGAUAUCAGGAGGAACACCAGUGGCGAAGGCGCCGCUCUGGGCCGUAACUGACGCUGAGGAGCGAAAGCAUGGGUAGCAAACAGGAUUAGAUACCCUGGUAGUCCAUGCCGUAAACGUUGGGCACUAGGUGUGGGUCUCAACCAACGAGAUCCGCGCCGUCGCUAACGCAUUAAGUGCCCCGCCUGGGAGUACGGUCGCAAGAUUAAAACUCAAAGGAAUUGA